rnacentral:rRNA from 1 species
GUCUGUGGCCAUGCCACCCUGAACAAGCCCAAUGUCUGAUCUUGGAAGCUAAGCAUAAGCAGGGUCGGGCCUGGUUAGUACUUGGAUGGGAGACCACUUAGGAAGACCAGGUGCUGUAGACA